rnacentral:rRNA from 1 species
GGGCCCGCACAAGCGGUGGAGUAUGUGGUUUAAUUCGAUGCAACGCGAAGAACCUUACCAGGGUUUGACAUCCUGCGAAUCUCUUGGAAACAGGAGAGUGCCUUCGGGAACGCAGUGACAGGUGGUGCAUGGCUGUCGUCAGCUCGUGUCGUGAGAUGUUGGGUUAAGUCCCGCAACGAGCGCAACCCACGUCGUUAGUUGCCAGCAUUUAGUUGGGCACUCUAGCGAGACCGCCGGUGAUAAACCGGAGGAAGGUGUGGAUGACGUCAAGUCAUCAUGCCCCUUACAUCCUGGGCUACACACGUACUACAAUGCUACGGACAAAGGGCAGCAAACUCGCGAGAGCUAGCAAAUCCCAUAAACCGUGGCUCAGUUCGGAUAGGAGUCUGCAACUCGACUCCUUGAAGUUGGAGUCGCUAG